rnacentral:rRNA from 1 species
UACGGGGGGGGCAAGCGUUGUUCGGAAUUACUGGGCGGAAAGGGCUCGUAGGUGGCCAACUAAGUCAGACGUGAAAUCCCUCGGCUUAACCGGGGAACUGCGUCUGAUACUGGAUGGCUUGAGAUUGGGAGAGGGAUGCGGAAUUCCAGGUGUAGCGGUGAAAUGCGCAGAUAUCAGGAGGAACACCGGUGGCGAAGGCGGAUCUCUGGGCCAUUACUGACGCUGAGGAGCGAAAGCGUGGGGAGCGAACAGG